CUCCGGAAUUAAAAUUCCACGAAUCAAUAUAUGAAAAUCUGUAGGAAACAUCUCUAAUCGUAUUAAGUUCAUCUUUAUAGCAUUUCCUAUCUGCUAAUCUAGUGCAAAGCAAGGCUGGGGCGGAAUUUAUUUUCUUCCACUCAACGUCGCUCCCGUAAUGGGUUUUGACGGUACGACGCGAUGGAGAUAACAACGCGAAAUUCAGUUGUAUGUUUAUUUCUUCGUAAUUCAAAAGCAAAACGCGGAGCGCACCCCCCGUCCUCCUCAUCCGCCGUCAACUUUCCUGAGCGCAGCGGGGCAGCGCCGGCGGAGCUCGGCUGGGAGAGGGGCGGGCGGGGCCGGACCCCGCGAAGCGCCGCUGUGUGCCCGCAGCGCCCCGUCCUCCGCGGCUCCGUCCGUCCCCGACUGCCGUGCGGGGCCGGCGGGGAGAGAGGAACGUACGGGUGCGAACGGCUGCGGGGCAGGGCGAGGGAGAGGGGUGGGCGAAUGGGAAAGAGACGGGAGGGAAACGUCUCUCAAGCGAACGGGCUGGAGGAGAAAUCCGCGGCGCUUGGCUCGGGGGGAGAGGAAAAGCGGAGAAACGGCAAACGGCGUGUGCUGCAGUUGCCAGAGGAGUGAUGGGGGCUUUCAAGGGUGUGUGAUGGGGGUGCCACCACAGCCACGCAGCUGCCAGAGGGCAGUGGAAACGUGGAGGAGGAAAAUUAAGCUGUGAACUGGAAUUCCAUCAGGCUGUCUGCCGUGAAGCCCUGCGGCUUUAGCAAACAGGCAGCAGUGGUCAGAAAUGACACUCAAAAGAACUGUCUGCAUUAAUAACAAGUACCUCCACUUGGAAAUUAUUUACAUGAAACAUUGUUCUCACAUCACUGCUACUGACAGCGGCUCCGGACUGGGUGAGAGAAGGACACCGUGAUGAAUUUACCCAUACCUACCUUACUGUGCUGCGUGAGACGAGGAGAGCUCAAAGACUUCAGAGAAGUUUGAAACCUUAAUCCCUGAAUAAUGCCUCCACCUGCCUCCUGGUUUUCUUUGGGGACUUUCCAGCGCUGGCCAGUCCUGACCCUAUCUGACUUCAGGGACAAUCCCAGUGUCUUGGGCUCCGAAAAAAGAGUGAAACAGUGACUGGAAAUGGUGCACUCAGCAAGGCUGAUCAUGGGUGCAGCGAAAGCGGUACCUGACCAUGUUAACACCUCCAUCAGGUGCAGGAGCUCAAGGGAGAAGAAUCUCCAGGAACAGAUUUUGACCUCAAGACUAAGGCACGUUACGUGUGUGAAGGCCCAGCACCGCUGCUACGAUCCACAGCACUGCUCCCACAUACUGCGUGAGUGAGGCCCUGCUGAUGUAAUAGUGGCCCGCAUAUGUCUCAUAUUAAUGGUAUUUUCCUAAUAGUAAUAGCAUUAAAGCCUGCCUACCUGGCUAUUGAGUUACCUUAUUUAGGGUAAUUUGCCCAAAAGCCUAUCCUGGAGCAUGUGAACAACCGUAUCAUUUUAUAACACUUAGCUUUAAGAUAUCAGAAAUCAAAGCAGGCAGACAGUCUGAUUCCAGAACUAGUAGUUUUCCAUUUAAAAAAACAAAAACUGUUGUGUUUCUUGAAUAAUUUAUUAUCUGGGUUUCUGUUGCAUUUUCCACAUGGAAUUGAUGAAGAAAAAUUUUUUCUAAAGAAAGUUCGGAUGAGUGAAAAUUCACACAUGGAAAACAAAUGAGCAUCGGGAAGCACUCCUCAUAGCUAAUGGCUACUUGGUCUGGUGCCAGAAUUCAUACAGAUCCUUAAAAUCAAGUAAAUUAUGCCCGCAGUGAUAGCUCCCUUUUGCUGGAGUCCCACAACAAGCACCAAAUGGUGGAGCGGCACAGAACUGCCAAAUUCCAUUUUUCACCUCCCAGUUCCUUUCAGCUGAGCAGCAUCAUUCGCAGCAGAAGGGCCCAUGCAUUUUUUACAGCUCCCCUCCCAGCUGCGUGUGCAGGGCCCGAUCCUGCCUAUGGCACAGGGCUCUGAGGGCAGCGCCUGCCGCGGGGUCAGCAUGUCAGUGAAUGGCAGCGGUGGUGGCAAUCUGACACACGUGUCUUCCCACGGAAGGGAGUGGAAAGAAUUGGGUCUUGAAAAGGAAAUAAUUGUAAAACAAAAGUGUACUUCUCUCACUUUGUCCUUUUGAUAAGAUCGCUUGCUGAGCUCAGAGGUUAGGAGAUGUGCAGCUUGCCAUGCGCCAGAUUAACAACUGCUGAAUUCUGUGCUAGAAAACUCGGCUGGAUUACACAAAUAUCUGUUAAGACAAGGAUAAAUAUUUAUAAACAGUCUUCCUUGCAGAACAUGUCUCCAUCAUUCAUUUCCCCGUGAUGAAAUAUCUGGAACAAUGGAACUAAUGACUACAUUGUUCCAAAGUUAAAUCGUAUAUCUAAUAAGGAAAAUACUAAAAUGAGCCAAAUUCUUUAUGAACACAACAGCGAAGCAAUUAAAAUAAAUGUGAUUUUCCAGAUCAAAACUUCUGGCUGUUAAUUGCUAGAUGGCACCUAUCCUAGUCAUAUGAGUUUCCCUCGCAGCUGUUUUUAUUUCACGAUACAUUCUGGGCUCCCCAGAGCUGUGCUGAGCUCGGACGUGGCGGCAUCGCGCCCGGACAGCUGCGCGGGGCUGCGGGGCUCAUGGAUGCACUGCUGGGACAGGCCUUGGGCCAGGUGCGCUCUCGCUGCUUGCCCUUUGCUUGCCCCGGGGUUCCAGUGGGGAUGAUGGGUGGGCACAAUGGCAUGCCCGCACCAAGCACACAGCACUGCUGCUCCCAGAAAGAGUAUUUUGGAGGAUAUACUUCAGUCAUACACUUUGUCCUAGUCACGGCAUCUGGCUGAGCUCAUACCCUUACCUCUUCGCCCUCUGCAUUUGACUUUUUUUUUUUUUUAAUUUGUUCAUGGGUGCCCUAGCACAGCAGCAGUGGGGCAGGGGCUGCAGCCCCAGCAGGACCAGGGCUCUUUAACCCACCCCACUCCAGAGCUGAAACUGCACACUGGAAAUCUGGCACGCUCCAGCCAGCUUUACUUGAAGCUGCACUUUGGUAUCUGUAGGUUAUUAAUGAGAUUAAAGAACUCUGUUACAGGGAAUGACAACUGCAGUUUGUCCAACAUUAAGCAGAUAUUGGCAUCCUUAGGUGUGAGUCGGGAGGCAGUGAUCUCAGAUAUUGAACGAGCUAAAGCCAUGAGCAAUAUGAUAUUGAUUAGACAAUGGGUAUUGUAUUUACCCACAUAGCUUUAUUGGGUGAGGCUCAAUGUGAUGUUUUUAUUUGGGAAACUUAAGAAAGAUAAUUAAAAAUGCUGUAAGGAGAGCCCAGCAGCCUUUGUGCUUUGCCUUUUAAAGGCUGCAGAUGUCCUGUCUUCUUUCUUUAAAACGGCAUGUGCUCCCUCUCCACCUUCCAAAAGAUCAAGGGUAAUAAUAACAACAAUAAUAAUACAGUGUCCUGGAAUUUUUCUACAUGCCUCAGGAGAACUUUAAUUUUUUCCAGAAACUGUUUUCUGACAACAGCCGCCCCGUGGACUUUUCCUGUUCCCCAGAAUGCAUUUCCAGUGCUGCUGCGGCCAAGUUAAAAUGGUGUCUUUUGGAUAUAAGGCCUUUUAUGUAGAAAACCUUUCUCUUGCUGAACAAAACCCUGCCUGCAGCGUGGGGCAACCCUGACCCGGUGAGCAGGUAGUGUUGUGCACUUUGAGCCUGUGCACCACGGGCAGCCCAGUGUGGCCUUGAUGACAGAAUUCGGGAGCCUUACUCGCAUCCACAGACGGCCCAGUGCUCGAAGCAUGCACAGAGGAUGCAUCCUGUCCACCUCUUCCGCUGUUUCUCCCAUCAGUUGCAUUCCCUUUCCCCAAGGGCUUUUUUCCAUUUUUUUAACUUUAUAAUCCCACAGCAAUGCCCAGCCCAGCUGCAUUCCCAUCUUGCAUCAGAAGGCUGACUCACUGCAGCGCUCAGCUCGGUUGCAUUUCCCUUCCAUGGGACAUGGGUCCACAUGGCUGCAGACAGGGCCUGGGCCUGGCACACAGCGAGGCAUGCACCCAGCUCAGGGCUGAGGCCAGCGCCCGUGUGCCACCCUCUUUGCCUCUGCCAAGGUCUUUCAAGCUGAGGUGUGAUGGCUCAGCCUUUCUCCUCCCUCCACGGAUGGCUGCUGCUGUAACUCCCCAAGCUUUUGGCCAUGGGCUGUUUAAUAUUUUCUUCCAGCUCAGCCAUCUCCAGUCACCAGAGCUGCUGCCGGCUCUACUCCCAUGGGUGAGGCAGCUUCUCACAGCCACCACUUCCUCUGCUCUUCAACCUGAUGCUUUCCAGCUCUGCGCUUUGCAAGGGGAGGCAAAGGAGCGUGUGCCGAGCCUCCAUCUGCACCACAUCACGGGAAUACAAAAUGGCACCGAAUCCUACUUUUCCUCAUUAGAUGUGGGCAAACUUGGCUGGAGCGCAAGUGCGAAAGCUCAUCUUUCUUCAGCUGCUUGUAAUUCAUGCUUGAGCAAGAGCAUUAUUUGGGGCUUAAGUCAGAGUCUUCUAAGUAGGUCACAGUUCUUCUAGACCCAAACUCCUGCAUAUGACUUCUGAGAAAUGCAGAUCCCUGUCCUCCUGAUUAGUGAAACACCUCAGGAGCCCUCUUUUCAGUUUUAUCAGCUCCUCAAAUGAAUCCAUAAAACAAAUAGUUACUAAGAAGUUGCUUCCUGCAUAGGGUUCAGACUUGGAAAAAUUCCUCUGCCUUGGGUGGCAGCCAUUUCUGUCUCAUUUGCAUGGCUAGUUUCUUGCAUUUUAAGGAUGCUCCACUGUAGCCAGGUAAAUGGAUGCACCCCGCAACUCCUCUAGUCUUUGCAUCAACAAGAGGACAAAAAGCUACGGAGAAGGCAAGGAAGCUCCAGCCUACAGGGGCUGUGCUGGCUGAAACACAUGCAGUGCAGUCCAUGCUGUAAAACAGCAUUCAUUUUAGUGGUGCAGAGGCUGAUUUGCCAAAUCAUCACAGCAUGUGUUAGAUGUUAAUCCUAGUCUUUAGAAUAGAACUACAGCUUCAGACACACCCGGAGAUAAAAUGAGGGAAAUACAAGAGCUCAACAAGAAGCAGAGUGAAGUGGAAUGGCACAGUGCAAGGAUGUGUUAAGAGCUCUUUGAGGCACUGGUGGCAUAAGUAAGUUUUCCUGGUAUUUCUGCAGGGCAGUUCUGAAUGCCUAUAGCAGCUCACCACCUGCGUUUGAAAAUGAUAGCAUUUGCUUUUUUCAGUCAUCUAGAAAUUAAGCUUUACCUCCUCCUUCAGUAGCAGGAUGAGUCUGGACUGCAGUGACAUGAGGGAGAAGUCAGAACCAAACAUACUCUAUAUCUCUCGCCGGAGGAGAAGAGUUGCAGUUAAGUCUGAUUUUAGUUGAGUCAUUUGGCCAGGGGAGAUUAUCCAUAGGUAUGGAUUGCAGUUGUCAGCAGCCACAUGUUGUUGGGGCAUUUCUUUGCAUUACGGUACUAUGCAUUUAGAUUUUUGCCCUUUACUGCUGCUUUAGUGUGCAAUGGUGAAGUGCUGGAGCUCAGCUCUGUGGCUGCAUUCGGAUCCCUGAAAUGAGCUCAAGUGCUAUUUUACCAUAGAAUACAGGAUGCCUUCGUGCUUUUAUGCUUUAUUUUUGAUUCUAUGAGGUUAUUUUAACUUCCUUGUCUGAAAAGAAACAAAAUGUUAGAUGUCUAAUUGAAUGGACUGCUGGAAAAGAUGCAUAAAAAGGUCUGGCACGUGAACUUCUGUGAAGCAAAUGCCUUUGUUUCCAAACAGGCCAGCGAUAACAAAUAUUUAUUGACAUUUUCCUUCCACAGGGGCGUUAACAAUUAUAAUUUGCUAGUACGUACCUCAUGAGUCCUUACAGGUUUUGAACAGAACAUCUGUUGGUCAAAGAUGAAAAAGAAGGUUGAAAAAAAAAUCUGUUUUUCCAGGGUUAUGAAACUAACAGCAUCACAAAUUAUCGCUAGGAAAACAGUUCAAAAGCCUGAACUUGCACUUGUGGAAAAAGGAACACAGAUAGAGGAAACAGAUAAAAACGCGUCGUGUUGGUAGGCUUUGUUUUCUGCAAUGAUGUAUUGUUCCAGCAAAGCGGUUAACAAACAAAUUAUUGUCUGCGUCCAAAACAGCCAAAUCUUUGGUUCCACUGAACAGAUGUUAAGGUGAAGCAGAUUAAAGCCAAAUUCACAAUAGGGCUGCUCCACAGGAAAGGUGCCCUAAGUUUAUCUAUUGUUAAAUAAUAUAAUUUAUCGUCUUAGAGGGCUACGGAGUGAUUUCUGUUCCUUUUCUACUUUUUGAACAAAGAUUUAUAACAUAGAUAAUCCCCAAUUUUAGAUAUUUGCUGCAGGUUAUAUUUGAAGGAAUUUCCCAAAAGACUGAUAACCCCUUUUUUUCCCUUAACCACAGUCAAACCAGUGAACUAAUAUGAUGCCUGCUUCAAAUAAAUGUAUUUGCUGCCUCUGUGCAUGAUAAGUUUUCAUUUAGUCUACGAUCAGCUGACAGUAUGCAAGUUUGCAGAUACCAGUAAUUGAAUACAGAUAACCUUGGUUGUUGACCUAUGCAGAGCCAUGGCUGUCUAGUUUCCAUUGUUUCUGUUUUUGCUAGUUGACACAAAACUGAUGUGGGCUGAAUUUAUAUAUUAGCCAUCCAUUAUAGUGGGAAUUGCUUAUCAUUGUGGAUGGAUAUUGCAAGAAGUUUCUAUUUAUUUAACCUAAUAAGAUGGCAGAAACGAACCUGAUUGGGCCCACUCAGGAUCAGAAUUAACCCUUAGUGGUCCAGUUAAUUGCUGCAUGGUUAACAAGUCAUGUAAAGGAUGCCUGCCUUAUUUCUAUUUUUUACAUAAUGAUUUUCUUUUCAGUUAGAGGGAUUAUUUCAUUUAGCAAACAAUCCUUGCCAUAUUGAGAAACUGAAUCUGAGGGUUGCAAAAGAGUCAGAUAGUGCCGGAUAUCUAAAUCCUCUUGACUUCUGGCCCCGGCCAAUGACCAUUCUCCCAGAGCUCAGUGGAAGCCCAGACUGAACAGACGGUGAGGUGGACGUUAGCACAUGGUGCCAGGGUCAGCGGUGGCACAGUCCCCAUCAGUGCUCCUCCAAGCUCUCAUACACUGGAGUCAGAUUGAGAUGUCUUUGGUUGUCUGCAGUGUUUCUGACAAGCUUGGUUUUAACAUCACACUGGCCACAGUUAGUUGUGUGCCUUUCCAGCUACCUGUAAGGUUAUUUAGAUCCAGAAUAGUUUUACAAAUGCAGUUGCUUACACAGAAGAUCCUGUGAAGGUGAAGGAUGAAGGUUCCUGUUACAGCCUAGGGAUGACCGAUCCACUGGCUGGGUAAGGAUGGUAACAAAAGCAGAAAGCCAUCUUUUUUAUUGCUAUUAAAACAGCAUUCAAACUCUGAUCCCACUGAGUUCAAGGCAGCUAGCUGAUCAGUUCUUAGCAUUUUGAGCAGCUUUUCUCCCACCUUAGAGGAGCAGAAGAAAUCUUGCCUGAUGUAGCAAGUGAGGGCUGAGCGGUGGUCAUCAAGUGUGGGCUCAUGAAUGGGCACUU
ensembl:lncRNA